CAGUAGCCGCGGGAAUACGAACCGUGCGAACGUUAUCCGGAAUUACUGGGCUUAAAGCGCGUGUAGGCGGGCCGCCACGUCGGUUGCUGAAAUCCCCCGGCUCAACCGGGGAAGUGGCAUCGAUACGAGCGGCCUUGAGGGGGGUAGGGGGAUCUGGAACUUCCGGUGGAGCGGUGAAAUGCGCUGAGAUCGGAAGGAACGCCCGUGGCGAAAGCGAGGUCCUGGACCCUUUCUGACGCUGAGACGCGAAAGCCAGGGGAGCGAACGGGAUUAGAUACCCCUGUAGUCCCUGUCUCUUAUA
rnacentral:rRNA from 1 species